AAAACAUUAGGACCGUCGGUCUACCGAAAAAAUAUGAACCGCUCGGUGAAAGAUCUUCCCUUUGUCGU
rnacentral:pre_miRNA from 1 species